GUCAGGUGUUGAUGGGACGGCCGAUUUCUUCUCAUUCCUCCGCGGGGUUGGCGGUGCCUGACCCGGGUUAGGGCUUGGGCUUUUGGCCCUGGUACCUGUCUUUCAGCUCUUGCUGAGCAUCCUCAAGCAGCAGCAGUUUUGCCCAAAGGUGGGCAGGGCUAAGCAGAAACCCUGGCACAUGGGAGAACAGGAGAACUGAAGAGGCCAGACAUCGUUGCCUGGAAGAUGGCAAGAGUUGUCUCCCAGCUCUUGCUAGGAUCUGCUCCUCUGACAGCUGAAGAAGAAACCACUGUUAAAACUCCCCCUGUGUCUUCAGGGGCUACAGAUGCUAUAACUGUUUGACUCAAAGGCCUGGAAUAAUCCAGGCUCCAGGAGAAUUGAUUGAGGCCUCUUCUAACUUCAAGAGUCUUCCCCCACAGAAUCAGCAGGCUCUGGAUACUUCAUGGAACAUGUGGAGCCAGGCAGAAAAUCUUGGAAACCCUGGUAGGCAAAGGGUGGGAAUGGCUGAAACAAGUGGAAUUAUUCUCUAUAGGGGAUGAAGCCACGGUAGUUUGUAGAGGAGAAGCAACAUUUAUGCCACAAGAACUCAGUUACUAUUUCUAUAUGAAUUGUUACUGAGCAUUUACAAUAUGUGAGGAAGUCAUAUGGGGAGCAGUGGUGACUUUCUCAUCCUGAGGCACCUAGAGCCAAGGGCAUGAGGAACCUGAAAUCAAAGAGAAGAAAAUUCCUAAGAGAUGUAACCAUACAGCUCUUAUUCAGCAUUGAUUCAACAAAUACUAAGCACAGACCAUAUGUCAGGCACUUUAUGUGGCUUAUUUUUUAUCUGGGAUCUAAGAAUAAAUCUCGGUCCUUUAAGCAGG